AUAGCGUAUAUUAAAGUUGUUGCAGUUAAAAAGCUCGUAGUUGAACCUUGGACCUGGCCGACUGGUCUGCCUCACCGCAUGCACUGGUUUGGCUGGGUCUUUCCUUCUGGCAAGCCGCAUGCUCUUCACUGGGUGUGUUGGGGAACCAGGACUUUUACUUUGAAAAAAUUAGAGUGUUCAAAGCAGGCAUUGGCUCGAAUACAUUAGCAUGGAAUAAUAGAAUAGGACGUGUGGUUCUAUUUUGUUGGUUUCUAGGACCACCGUAAUGAUUAAUAGGGAUAGUCGGGGGCAUCAGUAUUCAAUCGUCAGAGGUGAAAUUCUUGGAUUUACUGAAGACUAACUACUG
rnacentral:rRNA from 1 species